UUAAUGCAGUUUAUCUAGCUACGUCAUCAAGCGGCUUCGCUUCCAACCAGCUUUUUCCCUCCAAGUGCAGCUCUGUCUCCGUGCUGUGGGCUCACACUGCUUCAGCUCUUCAAGACAGAUGACUUUUUGUUUUAACUCCCAAGCUUUUUCCCUCCAAGUUUCUGUGCAGUUCUGUCCUGCUGACUGCUAACAUAGCUUCAUCUCUUCAAAAGACAAGACAACAGGUAUCUUCCACCAAGAUGUCUGUUGAAAUGGAAAUGACCUUGCCCACUACACCAAGGGUAAUCAUGCUUGGUAAGAGGAAUAUUUUCCAUCACUAUAAUUUUUUUGUAGCAAUGUAUGUAAUUGUUAUGGUAGUCUGUACUUUUACUCACUAGCGUUAGCCUGACAAGGGUUUGUCUAUUUUAGGAAAUAGCUUGAUGUCUGCAACCCAGUGGAUGGUCAGUAUGG